GGGUGCGAUCAUACCAGUGUUAAUGCACCGGAUACCAUCAGAACUCCACAGUUAAGCGCACUUGGGCUAGAGUAGUACUGGGAUGGGUGACCUCCCGGGAAGUCCCAAUAUUGCACCCU
rnacentral:rRNA from 1 species